rnacentral:snoRNA from 1 species
UGCGCAUCGAAAACACAGGCCUGUGCGAAUUACUUGAGUCGUCUGGUCUGCACCUGUGAUGCGCGAGA